rnacentral:rRNA from 1 species
AUACGGAGGGUGCAAGCGUUAUCCGGAUUCGUUGGGUUUAAAGGGUCCGCAGGCGGGAAAAUAAGUCAGUGGUGAAAGCCUACAGCUCAACUGUAGAACUGCCAUUGAUACUGUUUUUCUUGAGUAUAGAUGAAGUGGGCGGAAUAUAUCAUGUAGCGGUGAAAUGCAUAGAUAUGAUAUAGAACACCGAUUGCGAAGGCAGCUCACUAAACUAUUACUGACGCUCAGGGACGAAAGCGUGGGGAGCGAACAGGAUUAGAAACCCUAGUAGUCC